rnacentral:miRNA from 1 species
AAAAGAAAUCUUUAUUGGUUC